rnacentral:pre_miRNA from 1 species
AGAGGAAUAGCUGGGUCAAAUGGUGGUUCCAUUCCCAGAUUUCCAAGGAAUCUCCACACUGCUUUCCAAAUUGGCUGCACCAAUUUGCAGUCCAACCAGCAAU